rnacentral:lncRNA from 1 species
AUUAGAAGACAUAUAGUACCCCCUAUGGCUCCGGCUAGUAUUGCAGGUUGACUAUGUGAACUCGAACGAGGACGUGAAGUAGAAGCAGUAGAAGCAUUGGAUUGUACUUUGUGUUUUGAUGGAGAAGGGGACAGAAUAGAAGCAUUGGGUCGUACUUUGUUUUUCGAUGAAGGGGACGGAGUAGAAACAUUAGGUCGUGCUUCGUGUCCUGGUUGAGGUGAUGGAAUAGGGGACUGUGGAUUUUCCGGAGCAUGCCUAGCAACUGCAGGACCGAAUAAAUGGGGUAGUUUUUGCGGCUUUGAAGGAGUUGUAGACCUUUUCUCCUCCAGUAGUCUCCUUUGAG